GCAUUGGGGGUGCUAUAAUGCAAGUCGAGCGGACAGAUGGGAGCUUGCUCCCUGAUGUUAGCGGCGGACGGGUGAGUAACACGUGGGUAACCUGCCUGUAAGACUGGGAUAACUCCGGGAAACCGGGGCUAAUACCGGAUGGUUGUUUGAACCGCAUGGUUCAGACAUAAAAGGUGGCUUCGGCUACCACUUACAGAUGGACCCGCGGCGCAUUAGCUAGUUGGUGAGGUAACGGCUCACCAAGGCGACGAUGCGUAGCCGACCUGAGAGGGUGAUCGGCCACACUGGGACUGAGACACGGCCCAGACUCCUACGGGAGGCAGCAGUAGGGAAUCUUCCGCAAUGGACGAAAGUCUGACGGAGCAACGCCGCGUGAGUGAUGAAGGUUUUCGGAUCGUAAAGCUCUGUUGUUAGGGAAGAACAAGUGCCGUUCAAAUAGGGCGGCACCUUGACGGUACCUAACCAGAAAGCCACGGCUAACUACGUGCCAGCAGCCGCGGUAAUACGUAGGUGGCAAGCGUUGUCCGGAAUUAUUGGGCGUAAAGGGCUCGCAGGCGGUUUCUUAAGUCUGAUGUGAAAGCCCCCGGCUCAACCGGGGAGGGUCAUUGGAAACUGGGGAACUUGAGUGCAGAAGAGGAGAGUGGAAUUCCACGUGUAGCGGUGAAAUGCGUAGAGAUGUGGAGGAACACCAGUGGCGAAGGCGACUCUCUGGUCUGUAACUGACGCUGAGGAGCGAAAGCGUGGGGAGCGAACAGGAUUAGAUACCCUGGUAGUCCACGCCGUAAACGAUGAGUGCUAAGUGUUAGGGGGUUUCCGCCCCUUAGUGCUGCAGCUAACGCAUUAAGCACUCCGCCUGGGGAGUACGGUCGCA
rnacentral:rRNA from 1 species